rnacentral:rRNA from 1 species
UACAGAGACCUCAAGCGUUAUCCGGAUUUAUUGGGCGUAAAGAGCGGGUAGGUGGUUAUGUUAGUCAGGUGUCAAAUCUUGGAGCUCAACUCCGAAACUGCACUUGAAACGGCAUAACUAGAGGGUGUGAGAGAUCAAUGGAACUCAUGGUGUAGCAGUGAAAUGCGUUGAUACCAUGAGGAACACCAAAGGCGAAGGCAUUUGAUUGGCACACUCCUGACACUGAGCCGCGAAAGCGUGGGUAGCGAAUGGG